rnacentral:rRNA from 1 species
UACGUAGGGGGCAAGCGUUGUCCGGAUUUAUUGGGCGUAAAGAGCGUGUAGGCGGCUAGGCAGGUCCGUUGUGAAAACUCGAGGCUCAACCUCGAGACGCCGGUGGAAACCAUCUAGCUAGAGUCCGGAAGAGGAGAGUGGAAUUCCUGGUGUAGCGGUGAAAUGCGCAGAUAUCAGGAGGAACACCGGUGGCGAAGGCGGUUGUCUGGGCAUUACCUGACGCUGAGGAGCGAAAGUGUGGGGAGCGAACAGG